UUGUCUCAAAGAUUAAGCCAUGCAUGUCUCAGUACAAGCCAAAUUAAGGUGAAACCGCGAAAGGCUCAUUAAAUCAGUUAUGGUUCCUUAGAUCGUACCCACAUUUACUUGGAUAACUGUGGUAAUUCUAGAGCUAAUACAUGCAAACAGAGGUCCGACCGGAGACGGAAGGAGCGCUUUUAUUAGAUCAAAACCAAUCGGUGGCGGGUUCGCGCCCGUCAUCGUACAACUUGGUGACUCUGAAUAACUUUACGCUGAUCGCAUGGUCUCGCACCGGCGACGCAUCUUUCAAAUGUCUGCCUUAUCAACUGUCGAUGGUAGGUUCUGCGCCUACCAUGGUUGUAACGGGUAACGGGGAAUCAGGGUUCGAUUCCGGAGAGGGAGCCUGAGAAACGGCUACCACAUCCAAGGAAGGCAGCAGGCGCGCAAAUUACCCACUCCCGGCACGGGGAGGUAGUGACGAAAAAUAACGAUACGGGACUCUUCCGAGGCCCCGUAAUCGGAAUGAGUACACUCUAAACCCUUUAACGAGGAUCAAUUGGAGGGCAAGUCUGGUGCCAGCAGCCGCGGUAAUUCCAGCUCCAAUAGCGUAUAUUAAAGUUG
rnacentral:rRNA from 1 species